GAUAGUAAUAAGAAAGAUGAGCUCAUUGUAAUAUGAGCUUCAUUUAUACAUUUCAUAUUACCAUUAGCUCAUCUUUUUUAUUACUACCUUCAACA
rnacentral:pre_miRNA from 10 species